AGAGAAGUGGGCUCAGUAAGUUUGCUAAACAGGCCUAAGGCCCAGUAAGACCUCAUAAACAUAAACCCUACCUUUACAAAUAGAGGAUAUCUACCUCUGGCAUUGGGAUUUUACCGGUAGCCGCUGCAGCUGAACGUUUCAGAGAGAGAAGCAUCUAUUCAUCAAAAUGGGUAAGGUUCACGGAUCUCUCGCACGUGCGGGCAAAGUGAGAGGACAAACUCCUAAGGUGGCCAAGCAAGACAAGAAGAAGAAGCCACGCGGACGCGCUCACAAGCGAAUGCAAUACAACCGCCGAUUCGUCACCGCUGUGGUGGGAUUCGGUAAGAAGCGUGGACCAAACUCGUCGGAGAAGUGAGGGGCUUGCGGAUGAUUUUGGGUUUUCGUAGUUUGCAAAAUGUAUCACUUGUUUUUGUUUUUAUUUGAUUGAUGACUGAAACCUUGAUAGUUACGUUAUGCUUCAAUGAAGGAGUUUUUUUGGCUAGUUUAUUUCAAAACUUUAUAUUUCCCUCUUACGGACGAUUGUUUUAGAGACUUUCCUCCACACUUUUUGUUUUGCUUCUAUUGAAUAUAGAGGUGAAGUAAGCAAACAUGGAAUACCAAGCUUAUAACUGAUAUAUAUUUGUGCUGAUUUUAGCCUAUUCAGUUCUUAUGUCAUGUCCUUUUUUAAAUGUUACAAACAAUACCGUUUGGAGGCCUAUUAGAGGAAAGCAUCAUUUUGGUCACCAUCUUAUAUCUGCCUCCGACGGUGUUGUAAUCAAGUGUUCAUUUCUGGCUUUUGUUAAUAAUUGCUAAAUAAAUGUUGGAAAACAUUGAGGGAUUUUGAUUUCUGGAAUUGGUACAUUUGAAGCCAUG
rnacentral:sRNA from 1 species